ACUCCACUGGGAGGUGAUUUACAUAAAACAUGCUUCUCUUGUUAUAGACAGGAGCUUUGUGCUGGGCUAGAGAGACGAGGAGAUGAAGAUGUGUUGUUCAGCUCAUUUUUCUGGUGCUCCCAAAAGAAGGACUAGCCUGACAAUGCCAUUAAGAAUCACAGAAGAAAUCAAAGACUUUGGAAGCUAAAAGUCAAAAAUCUAAAAAGUAAAGUAUCCCUGAUUUUCUGGGGGGAUUGUGCAGAUCAGUGUUUCUGUGGCUGUGAGAAAACCCAAGCAGAGCUUUGUUCCUGAGACCUGAUCACACCAACUACCCUGCUCUGGGGGAUAUGAAGGCCCUGUCAAACACAGCUCCCCAGUAGUGAUUAUCUAGGCCAAGCCCUUGGACUUCUGCUUGCAUAUCUUCCCCUUCAAUCUGUCAUAGUGCCUGGGGCCAUUACCAAAAUGAAGGCAUCAGGUGCCCCCAGUGGGACUCUUCUUGCUGAACAUGAAAAUCUCCAGUCUCCGUGAGCUGAGCUGAUCACCUUGCACACCUGUUAUUGUUAAGGGAAGAAACAGGCCCUUUUAUGGCUCAGGUUGUUUGCUCCAUCCUGGCACCUGUAUCAGGACAGCAACACCAUGCCCUGCAAGUGUCCUUUUGCUCUGCUGCCUGUGCAGACUCAGGGCAGCUGUCACAAGGAUAAAGAUCUGCGUUUUGUUAAAUCAGUCAAGGAGCCUUUGAAGAUAUCUUCUAACUCCAGACAUAAGGAAGUAUGAGAGCAGGCAAUGGUCUCCCAGAAGUCCUGCAUCAGAUGUGGCUUGGAUGUCCUAGGAGGUCUCAAAGGGUGUUAGAGAUGUCUGAAAUACUAUACAUCUCACUCCAACAGAAAAAGUCCAAACCCUUCUGCUUGAGACAAAGAAAUGGCAUUGUAGCAUCUGUGAAGUGCCUUUUUUAACCAUUUGCCAUCCUGCAUAGUA